GAAGGGGAGUGAAAUAGAACCUGAAACCGUGUGCUUACAAGUAGUCAGAGCCCGUUAAUGGGUGAUGGCGUGCCUUUUGUAGAAUGAACCGGCGAGUUACGAUUUGAUGCAAGGUUAAGCAGUAAAUGUGGAGCCGUAGCGAAAGCGAGUCUGAAUAGGGCGUUUAGUAUUUGGUCGUAGACCCGAAACCAGGUGAUCUACCCUUGGUCAGGUUGAAGUUCAGGUAACACUGAAUGGAGGACCGAACCGACUUACGUUGAAAAGUGAGCGGAUGAACUGAGGGUAGCGGAGAAAUUCCAAUCGAACCUGGAGAUAGCUGGUUCUCUCCGAAAUAGCUUUAGGGCUAGCCUCAAGUGAUGAUUAUUGGAGGUAGAGCACUGUUUGGACGAGGGGCCCCUCUCGGGUUACCGAAUUCAGACAAACUCCGAAUGCCAAUUAAUUUAACUUGGGAGUCAGAACAUGGGUGAUAAGGUCCGUGUUCGAAAGGGAAACAGCCCAGACCACCAGCUAAGGUCCCAAAAUAUAUGUUAAGUGGAAAAGGAUGUGGCGUUGCCCAGACAACUAGGAUGUUGGCUUAGAAGCAGCCAUCAUUUAAAGAGUGCGUAAUAGCUCACUAGUCGAGUGACACUGCGCCGAAAAUGUACCGGGGCUAAACAUAUUACCGAAGCUGUGGAUUGUCCUUUGGACAAUGGUAGGAGAGCGUUCUAAGGGCGUUGAAGCAUGAUCGUAAGGACAUGUGGAGCGCUUAGAAGUGAGAAUGCCGGUGUGAGUAGCGAAAGACGGGUGAGAAUCCCGUCCACCGAUUGACUAAGGUUUCCAGAGGAAGGCUCGUCCGCUCUGGGUUAGUCGGGUCCUAAGCUGAGGCCGACAGGCGUAGGCGAUGGAUAACAGGUUGAUAUUCCUGUACCACCUAUAAUCGUUUUA
rnacentral:rRNA from 1 species